rnacentral:rRNA from 1 species
UACGUAGGGCGCAAGCGUUAUCCGGAAUUAUUGGGCGUAAAGAGCUCGUAGGCGGUUUGUCGCGUCUGCCGUGAAAGUCCGGGGCUCAACCUCCGAUCUGGCGGUGGGUACGGGCAGACUAGAGUGAUGUAGGGGGAGACUGGAAUUCCUGGUGUAGCGGUGAAAUGCGCAGAUAUCGGGAGGAACACCCGUAGCGAAGGCGGCACUCUGGGCCGUGACUGACGCUGGAGGAGCGAAAGCGUGGGGAGCAAACAGG